GUAAUAUGUUUAGUCCCGGGCUAAACAUAUUACCGAAGCUGUGGAUUGUCCUUUGGACAAUGGUAGGAGAGCGUUCUAAGGGCGUUGAAGCAUGAUCGUAAGGACAUGUGGAGCGCUUAGAAGUGAGAAUGCCGGUGUGAGUAGCGAAAGACGGGUGAGAAUCCCGUCCACCGAUUGACUAAGGUUUCCAGAGGAAGGCUCGUCCGCUCUGGGUUAGUCGGGUCCUAAGCUGAGGCCGACAGGCGUAGGCGAUGGAUAACAGGUUGAUAUUCCUGUACCACCUAUAAUCGUUUUAAUCGAUGGGGGGACGCAGUAGGAUAGGCGAAGCGUGCGAUUGGAUUGCACGUCUAAGCAGUAAGGCUGAGUAUUAGGCAAAUCCGGUACUCGUUAAGGCUGAGCUGUGAUGGGGAGAAGACAUUGUGUCUUCGAGUCGUUGAUUUCACACUGCCGAGAAAAGCCUCUAGAUAGAAAAUAGGUGCCCGUACCGCAAACCGACACAGGUAGUCAAGAUGAGAAUUCUAAGGUGAGCGAGCGAACUCUCGUUAAGGAACUCGGCAAAAUGACCCCGUAACUUCGGGAGAAGGGGUGCUCUUUAGGGUUAACGCCCAGAAGAGCCGCAGUGAAUAGGCCCAAGCGACUGUUUAUCAAAAACACAGGUCUCUGCUAAACCGUAAGGUGAUGUAUAGGGGCUGACGCCUGCCCGGUGCUGGAAGGUUAAGAGGAGUGGUUAGCUUCUGCGAAGCUACGAAUCGAAGCCCCAGUAAACGGCGGCCGUAACUAUAACGGUCCUAAGGUAGCGAAAUUCCUUGUCGGGUAAGUUCCGACCCGCACGAAAGGCGUAACGAUUUGGGCACUGUCUCAACGAGAGACUCGGUGAAAUCAUAGUACCUGUGAAGAUGCAGGUUACCCGCGACAGGACGGAAAGACCCCGUGGAGCUUUACUGUAGCCUGAUAUUGAAAUUCGGCACAGCUUGUACAGGAUAGGUAGGAGCCUUUGAAACGUGAGCGCUAGCUUACGUGGAGGCGCUGGUGGGAUACUACCCUAGCUGUGUUGGCUUUCUAACCCGCACCACUUAUCGUGGUGGGAGACAGUGUCAGGCGGGCAGUUUGACUGGGGCGGUCGCCUCCUAAAAGGUAACGGAGGCGCUCAAAGGUUCCCUCAGAAUGGUUGGAAAUCAUUCAUAGAGUGUAAAGGCAUAAGGGAGCUUGACUGCGAGACCUACAAGUCGAGCAGGGUCGAAAGACGGACUUAGUGAUCCGGUGGUUCCGCAUGGAAGGGCCAUCGCUCAACGGAUAAAAGCUACCCCGGGGAUAACAGGCUUAUCUCCCCCAAGAGUUCACAUCGACGGGGAGGUUUGGCACCUCGAUGUCGGCUCAUCGCAUCCUGGGGCUGUAGUCGGUCCCAAGGGUUGGGCUGUUCGCCCAUUAAAGCGGUACGCGAGCUGGGUUCAGAACGUCGUGAGACAGUUCGGUCCCUAUCCGUCGUGGGCGUAGGAAAUUUGAGAGGAGCUGUCCUUAGUACGAGAGGACCGGGAUGGACAUACCUCUGGUGUACCAGUUGUCGUGCCAACGGCAUAGCUGGGUAGCUAUGUGUGGACGGGAUAAGUGCUGAAAGCAUCUAAGCAUGAAGCCCCCCUCAAGAUGAGAUUUCCCAACUUCGGUUAUAAGAUCCCUCAAAGAUGAUGAGGUUAAUAGGUUCGAGGUGGAAGCAUGGUGACAUGUGGAGCUGACGAAUACUAAUCGAUCGAAGACUUAAUCAA
rnacentral:rRNA from 1 species